GAAUACUUCCUUGAUAAAAUCCAGAGUGAAACUUAAUUUACUUUUUCAUAUUCUUUUUUUUUAUAUAUAUAUUUUUCCACUGAGGUAUAGCUAGGAGUUAAUUAGUAGGUAUAGUUUUUCAUUUUUUUAUCUUUUUAUUCGCUUUUUUGGAUUAGCAUUUUUCUCUCUCAUUUUUUGCAUUGCAAUUUGAGAGAAUGAAAAUUUCACUCCAACAUGUCUCACUCAUUUUAGAAACAACACCUAUAAAGUUUGAAGAGCGUUUGUCAAAGUAUUUUUGUGUCAUAAUUGCUAGUUUUCAAGUUUUCACAUUCUCUCAGACUUUUAGGGAAGUCAACCAACUAGCUUAUUCUUUAGUUAAAUAUGGUUUUGAAGAGAGAGAGUGUUUCUUAUUUCAUGUUGGUCUUGGUUUUGCUUUGAACACCUAUUUGGGUGAUUUAAAUUGUAUCCCUUUAUUGGUUAAUCUAUCUUCUUAUACAAAGAAGGCCCCUGCCAAUGCGGAAAGUACUAAAGUGCCCCUGAGUUGCUGAGGUGUCGUCGUCUGGGGGAUUUUGUUGCUGCCCAAAAUGGUCCCUUUUCUAUUUUUAUAAUUUUUUUAAAGUAUAUUUACUGGAUUGGCGACAUGUGGCACACGUGCACGGUUUUCCAACCCGGUGCGCUUGGGUAACCGAAGGGUUUGUCAUUUUCGUCCCUCUCCAUUCCUCUCCAUGGUUCACACUCUCCACAGCUCUCCAUUCUUUUCCAUGAUUGUGGCUGUGACCUUUGUGUUCCUCUCGGCUUCUUAGCAUUCCAUUUGGCUUCUCACCAUUCCAUUCAUCUCCAUGGUUUAGAUCUUUCAAGUCACCUUUGUGUUCCUCUCAGUGCACGGUUUUCCAACCCGGUGCGCUUGGGUAACCGAAGGGUUUGUCAUUUUCGUCCCUCUCCAUUGCUCUCCAUGGCUCCACAACUCUCCAUUCUUUUCCAUGACUGUGGCUGUGACCUUUGUGGUUCAUACUCUCCACAACUCCUGACCUUUGUCGACAUGUUUUCCCUUCUCUGCGCGAUUUAUGCCUUUGUCCAACCAAAAAGGUUUGAUCUUUUGGUGGUUGUCCCCGUGUUCGAUUAUUUUGCAUUUCUUUGUGCAACUAGAAAGGUUCGAUCUUUCUGGGGGGAUUGUUGCGUUCCAUUAUUUGUAGAUAGAUUUAUGUAUGAUCUGCGUGUUUGUGUAUUUUUUUUUCUUUUCUGACAGGAAAAAAGACCCAACCUUUGUGUGAUUUUUGGGUGCUCCUGACCUUUGCCAACAUGUCUUCACUUCUCUUUGCGAUUUAUGACUUUGUUCAGCUAGAAAGGAAAAAAGGUCCAACCUUUGUGCGGUUUUAGGGUGGUCCUGACCUUUGCCAACAUGUCUUCGCUUCUCUGUGCGAUUUAUGACUUUGUUCAACCAAAAAGAUAAAAAUGGAUCCCCAUCUUAGUAUGCAGAUGAAGGAAAUCUUGUGAUCCACAAUUCAAGCCUAAUUGAUGACAUUUCAGACCACAAUAAUGGUGACAUGGAUGGGCCACAAACAACCAUGGAUAUAGAUAAAAAUGGAUCCCCAUCUCAGUCUACAGAUGAAGGAAGUCUUGUGAUCCACAAUUCAAACCUAAUUGAUGACAUCUCAUACCACAAUAAUGCUGACAUGGAUGGGCCAUAAACAACCAUGGAUAUAGAUUACUCAUUCAACAACCCAACAAUAGAUGACGCUGAUGAUUAUGAUGAAUGUUUUCCAGACAAACGUCUUGCCAUUUCCACCAUAUCCAUAUAGGAAGUUAACUCCCCCUUAUUGAAACAACAUGGAUAAUGGCAUUCAAUCACCCCAUUGGAUUUAUGAAGGAAUCUUUAUGUUACUUUAUAGAACCGAGUUUUGAUUGAGGCGCUAUCAGAUGCUCAAUUUAUUGUUUCUUCAGGUUUAUGAAUAUAGAUUACACAAUCAACUACCCAACAAUAGAUGAAGGUGAUGAUUAUGAUGAACAGAACAUUCUAGGCACACCAUGUCAAUUGGGCCCCUCCCAUUGGAUGCCAAAAAACCAGUUUUUAGCGGCAUUUCAUGUUGACAAGGCCGGCAUUCACCAUUCCAACUAUUUUUCCAUUUUCCUUUUUCCAGAUACAAAAACAAACUUAUUUCUAUUGUUAACAUGUUUCCUUGCAGAACAUUAUUGAGGUCCCUUUGUCUUACCAUAGACAAUGGGGGCCAUAUCACCCAACUUAUGUUUUAUUUGACUAUAAUGGAAGCAAACAUUUUGUUAGGGUGCGGAAAUAUGACACCCGAUAUUUUUUUGUUGAUGGUUUGAAAGAGUUUAGGAAAGCCCACGACAUUAACGACAGUGUCAUUAUCCGGUUUUUUGCUCUCGACAAAAAUACCUCUUUCGAGGUUGAAGUCAUGGGACCUAUCCGUGGGCAAUCACGUGGAAGGUCAGUGGUUACAACUAGAAGGCACGUCUUUACAACUAAUGUCACACAAGACAUGGUGCAACACAACUUGCCUUUGGUUCUUCCAACAGCAGCUUCAAAUUUUUUGUUUGGCUCAAAAAAAAUAUUCUUGUCCAGCGUGGUUACGGUAGACGUAACCAGUGGCAGAUCACCAUUCAUGAUGGUCUGCCAUCCCUUGUGAAACCAUGGUUCCAGUACCUCUCUGAAAAUAACUUAAUGCCUGGAGAUGAAGUUGUAUUCUUCUUCAGGUUUGACGAACAUACGUGGGAAGUCCUAUUUAGGAAAGAAGUAAUAGGGAUGACACCCUUUCCAGUUGAAGACCAUCCCACAUAAAAUUAUAUUUUUUUGUUUUAAUUUGAUUUAUAUUUUGCUUAAUUUUGUUAAUCAAAUACCUUAGGGUAUGAAACAAUUUCUUUCCCUUUAUGCUGAAGUUAUGAACAUAUGUUGAUGGCUUAC